rnacentral:rRNA from 1 species
CGCGAGUACUGGUCCGGCGGGACCUUUCCUUCUGGGGAACCUCAUGGCCUUCACUGGCUGUGGGGGGAACCAGGACUUUUACUGUGAAAAAAUUAGAGUGUUCAAAGCAGGCCUUUGCUCGAAUACAUUAGCAUGGAAUAAUAGAAUAGGACGUGCGGUUCUAUUUUGUUGGUUUCUAGGACCGCCGUAAUGAUUAAUAGGGAUAGUCGGGGGCGUCAGUAUUCAGCUGUCAGAGGUGAAAUUCUUGGAUUUGCUGAAGACUAACUACUGCGAAAGCAUUCGCCAAGGAUGUUUUCAUUAAUCAGGGAACGAAAGUUAGGGGAUCGAAGACGAUCAGAUACCGUCGUAGUCUUAACUAUAAACUAUGCCGACUAGGGAUCGGACGAUGUUAUUUCUUGACGCGUUCGGCACCUUUCGAGAAAUCAAAGUGCUUGGGCUCCAGGGGGAGUAUGGUCGCAAGGCUGAAACUUAAAGAAAUUGACGGAAGGGCACCACCAGGGGUGGAACCUGCGGCUUAAUUUGACUCAACACGGGGAAACUCACCAGGUCCAGACACAGUGAGGAUUGACAGAUUGAGAGCUCUUUCUUGAUUCUGUGGGUGGUGGUGCAUGGCCGUUCUUAGUUGGUGGAGUGAUUUGUCUGCUUAAUUGCGAUAACGAACGAGACCUUAACCUGCUAAAUAGCCCGUACUGCUCUGGCAGUUCGCCGGCUUCUUAGAGGGACUAUCGG